UACAGGGGGGGGCAAGCGUUGUUCGGAAUUACUGGGCGUAAAGGGCCAGUAGGCGGCCAACUAAGUCACACGUGAAAUCCCCAGGCUUAACCUGGGAACUGCGUGUGAUACUGGAUGGCUUGAAUUCGGGAGAGGGAUGCAGAAUUCCAGGUGUAGCGGUGAAAUGCGUAGAUAUCUGGAGGAAUACCGGUGGCGAAGGCGGCAUCCUGGACCGACAUUGACGCUGAACGGCGAAAGCUAGGGGAGCGAAACAGGG
rnacentral:rRNA from 1 species